GACGAACGCUGGCGGCGUGCUUAACACAUGCAAGUCGAACGGAAAGGCCCUGCUUUUGUGGGGUGCUCGAGUGGCGAACGGGUGAGUAACACGUGAGUAACCUGCCCUUGACUUUGGGAUAACUUCAGGAAACUGGGGCUAAUACCGGAUAGGAGCUCCUGCUGCAUGGUGGGGGUUGGAAUGGUUCGGCGGUUGGGGAUGGACUCGCGGCUUAUCAGCUUGUUGGUGGGGUAGUGGCUUACCAAGGCUUUGACGGGUAGCCGGCCUGAGAGGGUGACCGGCCACAUUGGGACUGAGAUACGGCCCAGACUCCUACGGGAGGCAGCAGUGGGGAAUAUUGCACAAUGGGCGGAAGCCUGAUGCAGCGACGCCGCUUGCGGGAUGACGGCCUUCGGGUUGUAAACCGCUUUCGCCUGUGACGAAGCGUGAGUGACGGUAAUGGGUAAAGAAGCACCGGCUAACUACGUG
rnacentral:rRNA from 1 species